GCCGCGCACGCGCGGUGACGGUAGUAUAGUGGGGUUUGUACCUUUUGCGGUUCCCAUCGGGGGUGACAAAACCUUGCUGGUGUGGGAGCUGACCUGUGGACCCACGGACGAGGCCUUGCCUCAUUCUCUGUUCACAGUCUUCUCCCAGGUUGGCCUUCUGUAUUCGGUCCGAGUCUUCCCAAACGCAGCAGUGGCUGGUCCUUGGUUCUAUGGCAUCGUCAAGUUUUAUUCAGCAAGGGAUGCCCACAGAGCCCAAAAGGCAUGCUACCAGAAGCAGCUUUUUCAGACAUCUCCAGUGAAGAUGGGUC